rnacentral:rRNA from 1 species
GGGGGACAACCAUUGGGAAACGAUGGCUNAUACCGCAUAAUGUCUACGGACCAAAGGGGNGGUUCGGCUCUCGCCUUUAGAUUGGCCCAAGUGGGAUUAGCUAGUUGGUGAGGUAACGGGCUCACCAANGGCAACGAUCCCUAGCUGGUUUGAGAGGAUGAUCAGCCACACUGGAACUGAGACACGGUCCAGACUCCUACGGGAGGCAGCAGUGGGGAAUAUUGCACAAUGGGCGCAAGCCUGAUGCAGCCAUGCCGCGUGUGUGAAGAAGGCCUUCGGGUUGUAAAGCACUUUCAGUCAGGAGGAAAGGUUAGUAGUUAAUACCUGCUAGCUGUGACGUUACUGACAGAAGAAGCACCGGCUAACUCCGUGCCAGCAGCCGCGGUAAUACGGAGGGUGCGAGCGUUAAUCGGAAUUACUGGGCGUAAAGCGUACGCAGGCGGUUUGUUAAGCGAGAUGUGAAAGCCCCGGGCUUAACCUGGGAACUGCAUUUCGAACUGGCAAACUAGAGUGUGAUAGAGGGUGGUAGAAUUUCAGGUGUAGCGGUGAAAUGCGUAGAGAUCUGAAGGAAUACCGAUGGCGAAGGCAGCCACCUGGGUCAACACUGACGCUCAUGUACGAAAGCGUGGGGAGCAAACAG